AUGGCGGCAGAACCCCUCGGUCGGGUCAGGGCGGAACGGCGGCCGACCCCGCGCUGGUAGUGGGCUUACAGAGCCUAACCGCGCCGCGGGCCGGGGGGAGACGCGGCACCCUGCCCGGCCAGUGGGCCUCACUGCUGAGUUGGGAGUGGAGACUCAGCCCGGUGCGGGAGGUUACGUUCAGCCCUGUUGAUAGAUCCGCCUUCUGCACAUCUUUUGUGCCUCUCUUUAAUCGCACUGUUAACGGGCAGCUGUCUGCAUAACAAAAGCAGUAGUGGAGAAACUGCCUCACUUCAAACACACACAGUGGUCCUGCUGAAUGGUACCUGACAGCGUGGGGUCAAUGCCAGUGCAUAUCUGAACCUGGGGAAAUGGGUCUGUCAGAACUCAUAAUGUUUCUUAGCAAUAUUUAACGAGUAGGGCAUCCAUCCCACUCUCCAAGUAGGUGAGCAGCUCCCAGGGUCCCAUGCCCAUGUGGCACUGCUGUGGGACAGCCGCAGCUCCCUGGGCUCAUUGCAGCUGCCGCUCCAACCCCUGCAGCCUUUCUCCAGUACUCAGCUUUCAAGAGGAGGUUUAAUAACUUUUUUUUGGCCCUAUAGUAGCUGUCUUCGUGCAAAGGACCUUAUUAAUUAGCGGUAUUGGGGUUGAUAUUUUUAUAAAUCUGUUCACCAAAUAUCUUAAAAUGCAAAAGUGAUGCAUAUGGUCGUACUAGGAAUUUGCUUUACAUAAGAUCAGAGACUUGGCAGAAGGAAACAGACACAUCAUCCCAUUACUUUGUCUAUUACUACUACCAAGCAGUAUCCUUAUUUUCACUUUCCUUUGGAUAAAUGCCUUCUGUAUUUUCCUCUGUUGGCAGUGGAAGCAUCAUUUCAUUUGCAGUUAAAAGGCUCCCGUGAUCUAUAGGAAGCAACAGAUGUCAAAUUGUUUUGUCAGUUAAUAACACAACACUGCAUUGCUGGAAAUGUUCUGAUGUGUACUAACUUGAAUGUUUGCUGAAUUGGUGUAAUUAUUAGUUAUGUUAACGUGCAACCUUUAUGCAAAACAAGCUGCCUGUAACAUGCUGUUAAUAGAUGAGAGGGCUCUCUUAAUUGCUGUUCCGUGGAGAAAAACAACCAUUACUAAAUGUUUUGGUAAGUUCAAAUGUUGCCAAUAAGUAUCAGUCAGUUUUCGUCUUCAAAAAACAAUCCUAUAUUUCUUCCACUUUUCUUUUCAGUUAUCUGCAUUUUGAUAAACUGACUGAGGUUGCUGGAACAAAAGCAUUGCCUGCUUACCAAUGUGGCAUGUCCUAAGAGGCACAGAUCUAGUGAAUAAAUACAUGUGCGUUUAUUGGUAAAUAAAAUGCACAUUCCUGUUUGAAGCAGGAUCAGACAACUGGAGUGAUGGUUUCUAUUGCGAAACGCAUUGAGAACCAUAUGGCAUUUGGAGCCGUAGCUAAACUGCAGUAUGCUCAUAUCCAUGUUUCUGCUGCCAGCGUAUUGAUUGACAAACGUAGUAUUCAAAAGGAUUUGUGAAAAUAAGACAUCACAGUGCAGUUGUUUCCCUUACUCCACUGCGUUACCUCAUGUUGCUCAGUCUCCUGCCAGAUCUGUACCCUGCUGUAUGCUACAUCCUUAGUGUAUGCUGAAUGUGAAAGAUGAAAACCUGAUUUUUCUGUCAUGUCACAGGAUUUGCAUUCACAUCUGCAGAAGAUGAGUUCGGACUGCACGUUACACAGUUUUCUGUUGCGUUUUCAGUAUACUCCCAACAUCAUUUACACAGAUCUGAGAUGUGCUUCAUUCCAUGCAUGAGUGGGCAGUAGUGACUCCUAAUUUCUUUCAAGCUGUGUUUCUGGAGAUUUAUAUUCCUUCUGUAACGACGUGGUCAGAAAAAUAAAUGAAAAUCAAACAUAAUAACUGCAAAUGGAACAAACCAGUAAUAUUUCACGUUAUAAUUAGUCGAAACCAGGCUGCUUUAUCUUAAAGCAAUUACAUGUAAGUGGGAUGUAGGUUUUUGGAAAAAGCUUGGCAUUUCUGGCAGAGACACGAGAUAAAGGCAUCGCUGAUGACACUCAGAGGUAUUAAUGUAGUGGACACUCAGCCCUGCCAGCUGCAUGCAUUUUGGUGCUGCUCAUAUUUGGAUUUAAAGCCUAUCUGUGAUUUGUAUGGCGCGCACUUUUACACUUACUCCAAUGUAUUGCUGCUAAAUUGACUACAGUGUCCAAAUAAAUACUAAAAAUUAGAUACAUACAUACCAAAUAAAUACUAAUAAUACUAAGUUUUAAGGUUUUGGGCUUAAGCAGAUGACUCUUAGAAAGGCUUCUGGCCUUCAUCACCACAUCUUAUGUUCUAAUUAAAGCAUGUUUGCUUUCUUGCAUGGGGCCUAUUUUCACUGUAGGUGAAUUUGUUUGGCACAAAGGAAAAAAAGAAACUCAUCUGGUUUAGUCCUAACCAUCACACACGAUUUUUGUUUGUUUUAACCUUAAAGCUUCAUCUUUUCUGCUGUACUUAAUUUUAUCCACUGAGAUUUUUAAAGUUGAAUUUAAACAUGAGAGUGAAAUAGUCUUUGGUAACAAGCUGUUUACAAAUGGUUGCCAAAUGGUCUUUUUGUUGAAGGAUGUACUGCAGCAUUAUAUACCUCAAAUUGAUGCAUCUGUUUAUCUCCACACCACAUAACAACAGAUGUCAGUAAAGCACAGUUAGGAUAAGAAGUGUUGCUUCUACAAACACCCUUUCAGCUUCGGGUUAUUAAUUCUCUGUUGCAAAAUUGACAAAAUCAAGUGGGAGGAUAAAACAUCCAUCUUUUAGGGUCACACUGAAACAAAAUGGGACUUUGAUUACUUUCACAAAGUCACAUUUUGUCCCUUCCACGCUGUAAGGGUGGCUUGAGCUGUUUUUCCUUCUAUUUCACAGGUUACAGACUGAUUAAGAAUGCUGGUGGUGUACUGCGUGCUACUAAAUGAGAACGUGUAAACGCCAGCAGUUUUUUUCCCUAUACAGUUUAGAACUGUUUCAGAGGUUUCAAAUACAUACAGUAGCUCAGGAAACUCAUGGGAAGCACUCUUCAGAAAGGCAGCGCCUCUUUAGGUUCUACUUUGUCACUUCUCUUGGAUGCUCAGUAGGAAUGAGGCUCCAUCAAGAUGAGCACAGUAUUAAAGUACAAUCCAAAACUGAAUUGAGAAUAGAAAGAGUUUUUAACUCACACUGACUAAAGCUUUUGUUUCAGUAAUUACGUGAUCUUAGACUCUUCUGGAAGGAGUGAUGAGAUAUGGACGUAGUGUGUGACAGCAGUAUAGGGGCAGCCGAGGGGAAGCAACGUGGAGGAUAAUUAAGUUUGCAUCAAUCACAGUGUUGUGCCUGCAAUCCCCCAACACCCCCAGUCAAAAAAAAAAGCAAGUUUGCAGGUCUGCACGUACUCACUGUGGAAGGUGGGUGUGUGGGGUCUUCACAGGGGGCUGGAGGAGGUGGCAGAAAUUCCCUCACCAAAAGUGGCAGUGGGAGUCCAAGUACAGCUCCAGUGCAGGUGACGCCACUGAAAUUCUGGGGCAGAAGCAUCAGAAGUUGGUGUUAGUGCUUGCAAUGUGAAUGCUAGAGCUCCACCGUGUGGUUACAGCUGUGCACUGUGCACAGGCUGGGCCCUCAGCCCCGGGCUGCAGUGGCCAGAUCAAUGGAGGAAAUAUUGGCAGUGAACUCGGGCAGCUUCAUUCGAUGCUCCACGACAGCUGCACAAUUACAGUGCCAUUUGCUUCACUUCUACUGCUUUGCAGAUUUUUAAAUACAGGCAAUGUGGUGACUGGAAAAAACUACUUUGAACACAGCAGUUGAUAAGGAAAACAAAUGCAUAUUUCUUAAAACACAAAAAAUCAUGACGUCUUUACUGCUAAAGCACUGAGCGUGCUGGUGGUGGCACAAACAGCUGUGCUGUACUCAGGCAGGAUAUCACCAGCAUGGUGACUUCGGUGCAAGGAUGUAUGCCAUAGCAGAUUCACACAAAGCUGAGAAGAUACCAAACGAGGGAGGCUGUGCCAGGAGUAUAGUUUAUCAGGCAUGCGGUACAUCAAGCUUCUCUGCCCAGGUGUGCCAGGAAUGCGUAAUGUGUAACAUCAGGGAAGCCUGGCAGAGCUCAUUCCAUGAAAGGACAAUGCAACUUAGGUGAGACUGUUUUUAGAAGCUGUUAGAAAUAACCAUUACCUGCAGAACUGGUGUGAAGCACAGCACUGCUGGGCUAGGCUUUGUAUGAAUGUCACACAACGCCUUCAAGAGACAGCUUGGGCUAGGAUUUUUGAUUCUUUUACUUCUAUACCUUUCUAUUAUUAAACAGAAUAAUAAAAAAGAUAGUAAGUACCUACCAGAGUAAUGUACCAUCAAUAAAACUGCUUUUCUCCUGUAGCUAAAAGGCAGGAUACGUGAUGAUCUCUCCCAAGGUGUAUUUGUUGCAGAAUGAGGUUUUCCUGGUGCCCUGUGUGCACUUCACCAUCGAUCUCAAGCCAGACUGUUGCAUAGAACCACAAGGUAACAAUUGGAUGUCAUUCAAAAUAUUUUUUCAAGGACAUUUUUGACCUUAAGUAAGAGAGAGCCCUUCCAGGCCUGUAAUAGAUGAAAGGCUCAUGUUUCUGGAAGCCAAAAGCAGACAAAUGCUUCAGGAGCUGCACGUACCUAACAGGAAAGUCUCACGGUGGCAGUAGAAAAUAGGUUAGAAUUUCCUGUAACAGAACUUAAUUGAGAAGUCCUCCUGUCAGUAGCAAUAAUAACAUUAAAAGCUGUUUAGGCUUUUAGUUCACGCCAUCUAGGGGUGGCAAAAUGCUACAGAUUAGAAUCUGUUCUGUAAUCUUAGCGUCCUCCUGGGUUCAUUUUAAAACAGGAAACUCAAAAGUAUCCUGUGUAUUUUAUAAGUUUUAUAUUCUUUUAAGUACCUCUUUUUUUUUGUACAGUAGCAUCUAUUUAGUUUUUCCAAAGCACUUAAAACAUUUUCAGCACAUUGGAGAAGCAGCAGCUUCAUCUUAAAGAUCCACCUGAAUUGAAAUGUCUUGGACUUCAUGGAUAAAUGACAAACUGAAAACAGCAAGCCAGCGCUCUCUGUAGCAAGGCUGGCUGGGCAGAGGCUCAGCAGUGCCUCUCCCAUGGAGGAAUGGGCUCCUUGCAUGAACUCUGCUCAGCUGGGGAAGGUUGGCACGUAGGAGUAAGGAACUGUGAAAGGACUGUCAGCAUCCUUACCAAAUAUUUGCUUGACAGCAGGAUGGCUAACUGAGCUAAUUCAAAGGAUGCGAUACGUGCCAGUGCUUCCCUGUCAUUUGCCUUUGUCCCAGUGCUACUGUUGUAAUUUAUUUGUGUUUUGGACAUUAGGACCAACUGCUUAUGUCCAUCUGUGCACGCUAAAGCACACAUUCUGAUCUGUGAGUGGUUACAAGCAAGACUUUAAGUGUGAUUCACCAAAAUUUGUCAUCAAUAUUUGUACAAAGGAUUCUGGAGUAAAGCUCUGAGGGGGCUGGAGAGUACUUCUAUUUUUUUCCUCUGUUCAAGGAAUAACGUCAUCCCUUUGUAUAUUAAUGCAUUGGAUCACGCGUUGUGUUUUUUGGCAAGGACAUUAACAUGCAUUAGGAGCUCUUGUUCUAUCAAGGCUUUGUUUGAUGACUGGUCUGAAAACCUCAGCUCAGAAUUGGGAUGAAGUAUGAGUACAACGUGUAUUUAACGUUUGAAAAUCUGUGCAUUUCCGUAAACACUUUCAGCUAUCUUAUAAAUUACAUUGAUAAAAUGAUGAGUUUUCCUCUUCAGCUCUGUUCUCAAGACAUCCUUGCUAAGAAGGGGACUGUAAGUCACAUCAGUCUGGCAAGUAUUUUGAUUUCAAUAUUGUUAGACUUUUUAGCUUGAGGUCAUGUUGAGCUCUGGUAACGUAGAAAUCAGCUUUAAAGCUCUAUCAGGAGCAGUCAGAGGAGCCCAGUUGUUUCUGAUCUAAAGGCAAUGUAUAUUUUAAGUGGCCUUUUGGUAAGGCAGUUUAACAAUUAAUGUCAUAUUAUAAGGCCUUAAUAAGUUUAUUAAAAAUAAUGUUUUUAAAAUAGUGAUUAAGUAGAAUAAAAAACAGUGAUUUCUUAAGAAUUAUAAAUAUUAGGGUCUUAUACUGAUCCAUGUAAAUCAGCUGCAUGGUUAUGGUCCUAGAUUUUAUUACUAUUAACUUCUGAAGAAAUGCAGAUCUGCAUAUGAUGUUUCUCAUGGACAUUUUCUUACAAUUUCAGAUAAGAGAUGACAUCUGUGGAACGCUAAUAGUAUUUUUCCUGUAACAGACAAGUUUAAUGACUACAGUUGCUAUGACUGCUGCAGCUUGCUAACUGUCUAAAGAUUAAAUACAUUAAGACCCAAACAGUUGGUAAACUUUUGAAACGAAGGAAUCUUAUCCUUACAGUAACAUCAUUGCAUGAGUGGAGAGAGAUGGGAAUGUUUUUUUCCUGUGACCAGCAUAGCACACUGUAAGUGCCUGCAGUUAGCUUAAGCUGUCUUUAUUAAAGCACCAUUCUUUGGACAUCACCUCUGAAGAUGCCUGCACUGUGGGAUGAGGUAGUAGGUUGUAUAGUUUUAGGGUCAUACCCGCAACUGGGAGAUAACUAUACAAUCUACUGUCUUUCCUAAAGCAGCAGAAAAUCAACAACGGAGACCGUUCAGUUUUAAGCACAGUGUCAGAUUGUCCCAAACUUCUGUACUCGGAGUGUUUAUUAUAGCAGACAAAUAUUUCUGCAACGCCUACAGGUAAUUACUUCUGGAUUUUUUCUAAUUCUCUACAUUAAUUUAUCUUCUCUAAGGAUAACACGUAAGAACAGAUUGAUUCCUUUAAGGUGGGGUAAUGGUUGAUGUUCUAAUAAGUUGUGUUAACACUGCUAACUGAAGCAUCAAAUAUUAAUACUCGAGAAUGAGACUGUGGUUAGCUACUUCAGCAAAGAGCUUAAGUACAUGCUUCUCUGUCAGAGUGAGGUAGUAGAUUGUAUAGUUGUAGGGUAGUUAUUUUACCCUGUUCAGGAGAUAACUAUACAAUCUAUUGCCUUCCCUGAGGAGUAAAACAAACUGCGGUCCUUUGCUGUUGUUUGUUUCCACGUUGAGUAAGAGUUUACUUGUCAGAUAAGUUCAGGGUUGGAGAGUAUCACAUUAAUCCUGUAAAUUCUGUCCUUAAUUAACGAUCAGUUUGAAUGGUGCAAAUCCCAAACCUUAUGGAACUAAUACAACUUUUCUUUCAAGGUGAGUGGCACAGCACUGUCUGGACAUCAACAAUGCAUCUCUUAUAGAUACAGAACUGAAUACACCAUAGACUGGAAAUCAUUCUAAAACGAUUUGGUUUUGAACCUAAAAGUAGUCUUGGCUCAAGCUUAUACAUGGUGACAUAAACUGUUUUAAUUUCUGUAAUACAUUAACAUUCCAUCACUGUUCUGUAGAAGCUGGGAGACUUACAGUCAUACUUCAUUAAUACGCCUGCUUAUUUUUCUCUAGCUCUCGUAGCCAGUGAGACUUAAACAAUGUAAUACAAAGAUUAAAGUGUUGAAUGGCCAAAAUUGAUCCCUUCAACUGUUUAGGAGAAUGUAAAGCUAUGAAAUUUGAGUGCUCAAGAUCCAGAAUUGUAACUUCUGUCUGAAGAGGUUACCGAUUUUAUAAGAAGGCAUUUAAAGAUUGUGUUCUUUAUACCCCAUAAGCGCUAGGUGUACCCCCAUCUAGCUGCUUCUGCCCUAGGGUGACCACCUAACAUCUUCCUAUAACAACAAGGAACAAAAAGCAUGAAAACAUUCUGAUGACUGAAAGUUUAGCGUAGUAAGAGUGAAAAUGGAGCCAUUAAUGAGUACUUAAGCCAGGAAUGUUAACUGGUUAACCACUUAUUAAACAGUGCUAACUGUAAACUUGUAGUACAUGCCCUGGCCUAAAAAUGCAGAAGACCAAAAGCAGCUGGUAAGCUAAGCUGGCUUCACAGAGCAGCUGCUAAGCAAGAAGAACUGCAGAAAGGAAGCAUUGGGCUCCUAGGAAGAGGUAGUGGGUUGCAUAGUUUUAGGGCAGGGAUUUUGCUCACAAGGAGGUAACUAUACAACCUGCUGCCUUUCUUAGGGCUUUAUUAUAACACCAGGACCAUUUUGGCUCCAUCCUAACCUCUGCAGCUUUGGUAUGUGAAGAGAAGUGAAGCUGUUUCUAAGCAUAUUGAGGUUUAAUGAAACUGGUGUCUCAGCAAAUUUGGUACAGACUUGAGCACAGUACUAUUAACUGGAAUUUGGUAUUGUGAAAUGCUGCAUUUCAGGGCACACAUGUCAUUUUGUUGACAUUGGUGUUGUGAUAACUUACAAAGAUAAUGAAAAAAAAUUCUAAGAGUAAGAUCAGAUUCCCUACAAUUAGGAUGGAGGUGUUACAUACUUCUUAACGUUCAGUUAAGUACUAAUGCUACAUACUUGCAAACAGGCAGCUAUAAUGCACCUUCCUUUGGCUUUGUGAAGUUUCCAAGGAUCAACUUAAAACUCACCUGAAAGCUGGUGGGUUCCUGCAGGCAGGAAUAGGUUCUCCCAAAAAGUCAUGCUCUGUCAUGGAAUACUUGCAGUCCUACAGGAGCGUUUUCAAAGUGAAUGACUGCACAUCUGCUGUGGGGUUGUAUGUUGAGAAGUAGAUAAUGCUUUCAUGUAAUUACAGUGCAGUACCACCAUUGUUCUGGUAGGGCUUCAUCCAGAUGUGCUCUGCUGUGGGAUACAGAGACCCUUAACUGCUGAUCAUCUUGGAAGAUUAAUGCUUUAUGCUUACAGCAGCCAGUUUUUAGAGUUCUGGCAAGACAGAAUCCUAGAUAUUAUAAACAUACUUAGUAUGUUAAUGGAAAUUGUCUAUUCAUUGAAGUGUACACACUUGAUUUACUCAAUAAAAGAAUUUUAUGCAACUCC
ensembl:lncRNA